rnacentral:rRNA from 1 species
UACAGAGGGGGCAAGCGUUAUUCGGAAUUAUUGGGCGUAAAGGGCGCGUAGGCGGCCUGGCAAGUGACGGGUGAAAUCCCUCGGCUUAACCGAGGAACUGCCUGUCAUACUGCUGGGCUUGAGUCCGGGAGAGGUGAGUGGAAUUCCCAGUGUAGCGGUGAAAUGCGUAGAUAUUGGGAGGAACACCAGUGGCGAAGGCGGCUCACUGGACCGGAACUGACGCUGAGGCGCGAAAGCGGAUGGGGAGCAAACAGGGAUUAAGAAACCCGUUGUAC